rnacentral:rRNA from 1 species
AGCAGCCGCGGUAAUUCCAGCUCCAAUAGCGUAUAUUAAAGUUGUUGCAGUUAAAAAGCUCGUAGUUGAAUUUCGAGAUCAAAUUGUUGGUCGUGCCUCGGUACGUACUGGCAUUAUUGAUUUCUCCCUUCUGAAGAACCUUGAUGUCAUUAAUUUGGUGUCUUGGGGAAUCAGGACCGUUACUUUGAAAAAAUUAGAGUGUUUAAAGCAGGCUCACGCUUGAAUACAUUAGCAUGGAAUAAUGAAAUAGGACGUUUGAUUCUAUUUUGUUGGUUUCUAGGAUCGACGUAAUGAUUAAUAGGGAUAGUUGGGGGCAUUAGUAUUCAAUUGUCAGAGGUGAAAUUCUUGGAUUUAUUGAAGACUAACUACUGCGAAAGCAUUUGCCAAGGAUGUUUUCAUUAAUCAAGAACGAAAGUUAGGGGAUCGAAGACGAUCAGAUACCGUCGUAGUCUUAACCAUAAACUAUGACCGACUAGGGAUCGGAUGAUGUUAAUUUUUAUGACUCAUUCGGCGCCUUAAC